UAGGGAAUCUUCCACAAUGGGCGCAAGCCUGAUGGAGCAACGCCGCGUGAGUGAAGAAGGGUUUCGGCUCGUAAAACUCGGUUGUUAAAGAAGAACAUAUCUGAGAGUAACUGUUCAGGUAUUGACGGUAUUUAACCAGAAAGCCACGGCUAACUACGUGCCA
rnacentral:rRNA from 1 species